CGGGUAAGUUCCGACCCGCACGAAAGGCGUAACGAUUUGGGCACUGUCUCAACAACAGACUCGGUGAAAUUGUAAUUCCGGUGAAGAUGCCGGAUACCUGCGACAGGACGGAAAGACCCCAUGGAGCUUUACUGUAGCUUGACAUUGGGUCUUGGUACUACAUGUACAGGAUAGGUGGGAGGCUUUGAAACCAGGACGCCAGUUUUGGCGGAGCCAUCCUUGGGAUACCACCCUUGUAGUACUGGGACUCUAACCAUAGGCCAUGAAUCUGGUCUUGGGACACUGUCAGGUGGGCAGUUUGACUGGGGCGGUCGCCUCCCAAAAGGUAACGGAGGCGCUCAAAGGUUCUCUCAGUACGGUCGGAAAUCGUACGUAGAGUGUAAAGGCAAAAGAGAGCUUGAUUGCAAGACAUACAGGUCGAGCAAGGAUGAAAAUCGGACUUAGUGAUCCGGUGGUUCUGCGUGGAAGGGCCAUCGCUCAACGGAUAAAAGCUACCCUGGGGAUAACAGGCUUAUCUCCCCCAAGAGUCCACAUCGACGGGGAGGUUUGGCACCUCGAUGUCGGCUCAUCACAUCCUGGGGCUGUAGUAGGUCCCAAGGGUUGGGCUGUUCGCCCAUUAAAGUGGUACGCGAGCUGGGUUCAGAACGUCGUGAGACAGUUCGGUCCCUAUCCGUCGCAGGCGUAGGAAAUUUGAGAAGACCUGUCCUUAGUACGAGAGGACCGGGAUGGACGUACCUCUGGUGUACCAGUUGUCCUGCCAAGGGCAUGGCUGGGUAGCUAUGUACGGAAUGGAUAAGCGCUGAAAGCAUCUAAGCGCGAAGCCAACUUCAAGAUAAGAUUUCCCACCGCAAGGGUAAGACCCCAGAAAGACUAUCUGGUUGAUAGGUCGAAGGUGUAAGUGCAGCAAUGUAUUUAGCUUAUCGAUACUAAUAGGUCGAGGACUUGACCAAU
rnacentral:rRNA from 1 species